rnacentral:lncRNA from 1 species
CGCCAAUUGGGGAGAGGUAAGGGUUGUCUCUGGCAGUCGUCAGUGAAGUGGGGGAGAGAAGCGUCAAUUGGAAAGAGUAGAUGUCAUCGACUGGGGAGAGAGAAGGAGAUGUCGCCGAUGCCGACUGGGGAGAGGGAAGAGUUGUCUUCGAUUGGGAAGUGGGAGAUGUCGCCACACUAGAGAGAGAGAAGGAGAUAUAGCUGACUGGGGAGAGAGAAGAUUUAUCAU